GAUGAACGCUGGCGGCGUGCUUACCCAUGCAAGUCGCACGGAAAGGCCUCUGCUUGCAGGGGUACUCGAGUGGCGAACGGGUGAGUAACACGUGGGUGAUCUGCCCUGCACUUCGGGAUAAGCCUGGGAAACUGGGUCUAAUACCGGAUAGGACAAUGGUUUGGAUGCUGUUGUGGAAAGUUUUUCGGUGUGGGAUGAGCUCGCGGCCUAUCAGCUUGUUGGUGGGGUAAUGGCCUACCAAGGCGUCGACGGGUAGCCGGCCUGAGAGGGUGUACGGCCACAUUGGGACUGAGAUACGGCCCAGACUCCUACGGGAGGCAGCAGUGGGGAAUAUUGCACAAUGGGCGCAAGCCUGAUGCAGCGACGCCGCGUGGGGGAUGACGGCCUUCGGGUUGUAAACUCCUUUCGCUAGGGACGAAGCGUUUUUGUGACGGUACCUGGAGAAGAAGCACCGGCUAACUACGUG
rnacentral:rRNA from 1 species